UACAGAGGUCUCAAGCGUUGUUCGGAUUUAUUGGGCGUAAAGGGCGCGUAGGCGGCGCCGUAAGUCAGGUGUGAAAUUUCGGAGCUUAACUUCGAAACUGCAUUUGAUACUGCGGUGCUUGAGGACUGGAGAGGAGACUGGAAUUUACGGUGUAGCAGUGAAAUGCGUAGAGAUCGUAAGGAAGACCAGUGGCGAAGGCGGGUCUCUGGACAGUUCCUGACACUGAGGCACGAAGGCCAGGGGAGCAAACGGG
rnacentral:rRNA from 1 species